rnacentral:rRNA from 1 species
CGCUGGCGGCGCGCCUAACACAUGCAAGUCGAACGGAGCUGAGAGGAGCUUGCUUUUCUCAGCUUAGUGGCGAACGGGUGAGUAACGCGUGAGUAACCUGCCCUGGAGUGGGGGACAACAGUUGGAAACGACUGCUAAUACCGCAUAUGCCCACGGAUCCGCAUGGAUCUGCGGGAAAAGGAUUUAUUCGCUUCAGGAUGGACUCGCGUCCAAUUAGCUAGUUGGUGAGGUAACGGCCCACCAAGGCGACGAUUGGUAGCCGGACUGAGAGGUUGAACGGCCACAUUGGGACUGAGACACGGCCCAGACUCCUACGGGAGGCAGCAGUGGGGGAUAUUGCACAAUGGGGAAACCCUGAUGCAGCGACGCCGCGUGGAGGAAGAAGGUUUUCGGAUUGUAAACUCCUGUCGUUAGGGACGAUAAUGACGGUACCUAACAAGAAAGCACCGGCUAACUACGUG